AUACGGAGGAUCCGAGCGUUAUCCGGAUUUAUUGGGUUUAAAGGGUGCGCAGGCGGGAGAUUAAGUCGGCGGGGAAAUUUUGCAGCUCAAAUGUAAAAGUGCCUUCGAAACUUGUUUCCUUGAGUGUAGAUUAAGUAGGGGGAAUUUGUGGGGUGGCGGGGAAAUGCAUAGAUAUCACGAGGAACUCCGAUUGCGCAGGCAGCUUACUAAACUACUACUGACGCUCAGGCACGAAGGCGUGGGGAUCAAACAGGAUUAGAUACCCUGGUAGUCCACGCAGUAAACGAUGAUUACUAGCUGUUUGCGAUACAAUGUAAGCGGCUGAGCGAAAGCGUUAAGUAAUCCACCUGGGGAGUACGUUCGCAAGAAUGAAACUCAAAUGAAUUGACGGGG
rnacentral:rRNA from 1 species